rnacentral:rRNA from 1 species
UACAGAGGGUGCGAGCGUUGUCCGGAAUCACUGGGCGUAAAGGGCGCGUAGGCGGCUUGAUAAGCGUGCGGUGAAAGCCCGGGGCUCAACCCCGGGUCGGCCGUGCGAACUGUCGAGCUGGAGCACUGUAGAGGCAGGUGGAAUUCCGGGUGUAGCGGUGGAAUGCGUAGAGAUCCGGAAGAACACCGGUGGCGAAGGCGGCCUGCUGGGCAGUGGCUGACGCUGAGGCGCGACAGCGUGGGAAGCAAACAGG